CCUGGCAAGUCUGAUGUGAAAUCCCGGAGCUCAAUUCCGGAACUGCAUUGGAAACUGCUGGGCUAGAGUAUCGGAGAGGAGAUUGGAAUUCCAGGUGUAGCGAUAAAAUGCGUAGAUAUCUGGAAGAACAUCGAAAGCGAAGGCAGAUCUCUGGACGAUUACUGACCCUCAGGGACGAAAGCAUGGGGAGCAAACAGGAUUAGAUACCCUGGUAGUCCAUGCCCUAAACGGUGUGAACUUGAUGUGGAAGGAUUUACUCCCUUCCGUGUCGAAGCUAACGCGUUAAGUUCACCGCCUGGGAACUACGGCCGCAAGGCUA
rnacentral:rRNA from 1 species